rnacentral:rRNA from 1 species
UACAGAGGGUGCAAGCGUUGUUCGGAAUUACUGGGCGUAAAGGGCUCGUAGGCGGCCAACUAAGUCGGACGUGAAAUCCCCAGGCUCAACCUGGGAACUGCGUCCGAUACUGGAUGGCUUGAAUCCGGGAGAGGGAUGCAGAAUUCCAGGUGUAGCGGUGAAAUGCGUAGAUAUCUGGAGGAACACCGGUGGCGAAGGCGGCAUCCUGGACCGGCAUUGACGCUGAGGAGCGAAAGCCAGGGGAGCAAACGGG